rnacentral:lncRNA from 1 species
GCCUGCCCUGCCGUGUUGGGUUCCGUGUCCUGAGCCAGACCCGGAUGAGCCAGUGAGAAUUCGGGUUACCGAACACAAACAGGAACAGCACUCCUGCACCCCAGAACCCGACAGGAUCACAGCCUUGCUCUGACCGAGGCCGACUCCGGGGUUCACACAGCACUCGGCUCACAGCUAGGUCCACACUUGGGCUGAUUGCGGUUGGAAAACCACUGACGCUGUUGGUCCCAACUUCCACUCAGGUCUGCCCACCAGCCGUUCCUCUUGCAGGGCAGGAAGCCGAGGUCCAGGUCGUCGGAGGGUCCACACCGGCAGGUUCAGAGCAGCAGUGUCGCGUGGAGCCGGCUUCUGCAGCGGGCGGGGCCACAGGGCACCCUGGCCACCGAAGGGUGACAGGUCAGUGCACCUUGGCUCACAGGCCUCAGGCCUGCUAUGGCUGCCUGACAGGUUCUACGGGCUGCAGGCCAUGCUGGCCACCAGGGCUCCAGCCCACACCUCCAGGCUGACCGGUAGGUCUGCAGAGACAGCAGUGGGGGAGCUGUCAGCUCCUCCUCCUCCUCCUCCUCCUCCUUCUCUCUCCCUCUCCCCCCUCUCUCUCCCCCGUCCCUCCCCUUCCCCCCUCUCUCUCCCUCCCUCUCUCUCUCCCCCCAUCUCUCUCUCCCUCCCCCUACCCUCUCUCUCCCUCUCUCUCUCUCUCUCACUCUUUCUACUCUUGCAAGUGUCCCUUUGUAGGUGGCACUGCCCUCUGGCUGCAUCACACCAGGAGACCCAGUGUCUUCUUGUCUGGCCCAGGAAGCUGCGAGGGCAGGGGUGCUGCCCUCCCUGGACGACCUCUCCCUCUCACCCUAGGCCUUGGCUGCUCCAUUUCUGUGCUCCCUCGGAGGCCACAGCCCUAGCCACCAGGGGUAGCUGUCCAGCCCUUCCUGCUCCAGCCCGUGUCCCUGUGGCUUCAGCGGUUCAUCUCGUGGCCAGUGGAAGCUGUGCACGCUGACCUUCUGCUCUCCUGUUGCUCCUCAGCCCACUUUUGUGGUUUCAGAUCUCAAAUCUGCAGAACUGCCUUGAAAGCCCACCAGCAUCGGAGCCCGGAUGUUUCCGGGCCGGCCCAGCAGUGACGGGCAGCGCUGUCCAGUCCUGCAGCUCGCUCCUCACCAGCUCCUUCAAGCUGGGCGCUGGGCCUGUAAAGGUGUUUUCUGUAUUGAUGUCAGACCUGCUUUCUGAGAAUUUUUACCCAGUGAGCACUUACCUGGCCUUUGACCCGAGGAGUGGCACUGAUGGCAGUUUGUGCUCAGGCAUAUUCAAGCACUUAAAUGUCUUCUUUCUGUCUUUCUUUUUCUUUCUUUCUUUUUUACUUUCAAUUGCUUUGAGAUACAGAUGCGCGCGUGCCCCCCCCCCACACACACACACACGCGCGCGCGCGCACACACGUGUGUGUGUGUGUGUGUGUGUUGAACCAGUUUUGAGUUCAGUAGCACUAACUGUAUUCACAUUGUCGUGUAAUAGACCUUUAGCCAAGUGUGGUGGUGCACACCUGUAGUCAAGCUAUUCGGGGGCUGUGGCAGGAGGAUCAGUUGAGCCCAUGUACUCAGGACCAGUCUGGGCAACAAAGUUGAGGCCCUGUCUCAAAAAAAAAAGCAGAUCUCUAGAAGUUUUCAUCUUGCAAAAUUGCAACUCUAAACCUACCAAACAAUCCCCUCUCCCCCGACCCCCAGCACUGGCAACCACCAUCCUACUUCCUGUUUCAUAAUUUGACUGCUCUAAAUAUAAGCCAGCUGGGUGUGGCAGCACAUGCCUGUAGUUCCUGCACUCAGGAGGCUGAGGCAGGAGGAUCUCAAGUUCAAGGCCAGCCUCAGCCACUUAGAGAGACCCUCAGAAACUUAGAUAUUUUAGUUUUUAUCUAGUUGUUAUUUUAGAAAAAUAAAAAGGGCUGAGGAUGUAGCUCAGUGGUAAAGCAUCUGAGGAUUGGAUCCUCAGUACCAAAAUAACUAGAUAAAUAAAUAUUAGCGGAAUCAUAUGGUCCUUGGUGACAAGCCCAUUUCACUCAGCAUAAGGCUCAUUCAUGUUGUAGCCCAUGAUAAGAUUUCCUUCUGUUUCAAGGUGACAUAAUAUUCCUCUGUAUGAAUGUAACACAUUUUCUGUGCCCAUUUAUAUGUAAAUGGUAUUUGCUUCUGUGUCUUGGCUGUUGUGAAUAAUGCUGAAAUGAACCUAGGUUUGCAAGUAAUUUUUGAGAGUCUGCUUUCAAUUCUUUUGGCUGUAUACCCAAAAGUGGGAUUAGGACUCACAUGGUAACUCCAGUUUUAGAUUCCUGAAGACCUCCACAUUGUUUUCCACAGGGACCGCAUGGGUUUAUAGCUCUACCAGCCGUGCACAGAGGUUCCAGUUUCCCACAGCCUCGCCAACACUAUUACUUUCUGGUUUUUAAUCACCUAGUUUUAACAGAGUCAUUCUAAGUGGAUGUGUGGCUUUGGUUUUCAUCUCCAGAGAAGGUGACAUCGAGCAUCGUUUCGUAUACUGUGGACCCUCUGUGCAUCUUCUUUGAGUAAUUGUCUGUGUGGGUCCCUUCCUGUUCUGUUUCACUGAGGGGGACCUUUCUGUGUCCUGGGUGUGAAGCUCGCAGCAGAGACGCAUAGACUCGGGCUUCCCGCUGCCUGCGCCACCUCUUAGCUCUGUCCUUUGCUUCAUGGUGCAGGGUUUUCAGUUUGAUGUGACCCCUUUGUCCACUUCUGCUUUUGUCACGUGGGCUUUUGGUCUCAUAGUCAAGGCAUCAUUGUCACUUCAAUGCCUUGAAGAUUUUCCCAUUUUCUUUUGAGAAGCUUAGGUCUUUGAUUCAUUGUGAAUUAAUUUUUUUUAUUUGAUGUAAGGUAAGGGUCCAACUUCAUUCUUGUUUUUAUUCGUGCUUUCUAGUUAAUACAUAGAUCUAUAACGACGUGAUCCUACAGGGAGGGAAUAUAAUUUGUCCAUUCCAGUCCCUAUAUGUGGAUAUCUAGUUUUCCUGUUCCAAUUUUGAAGACUUUUUUUUUUGGUGUGGGAUCUUGCUGAAGAUCAUUUGGCCAGACACAUGAUUUCUAGACUCUAUUCUGUGUGUCUGUCUUCAUGACAGUAAGUAAUCACAUCAGCUCAGCUGGGGGUGGAACUCAGUAGUAGAACAUUUGCCUAGCUUGUGUGAUGCCCUCGUUUUGAUCCCUAGCUCCAAAAAGAAGAAGGAAAAGGAAGAGGAAGAGGAGGAGGAGGAGAAAAGAAAGGAAGGAAGAAAUGCCAGCCUGUUGACCUAGGAUGACCUAGAAGAUCAUCUUAUGGGUUUUCCAGACGCGGCUUCAUGGAGACGUGGGGUACAGGGUCUUGUAGGCUGCGUUCUCUCAAACUCGGGUUUCAAGAGACGUGAGUAUUGUGUGCUACUCGGAAGCAUUUCCAAUGUGGGUGACGAAGGUGAGCCAUUUGCCUGGUGGUCCUCAAAGCCAACCCUGUGUUCAACACGAGUGAGCUCAGCGGAGCAGCUGCUAUAACAAACAGGACUUUCUCCUUGGGUCUGUUGAAGAAGAAGGAGGACUUGGAAGGACUGUUCACCUCUAGGCUCUUGGUGGCUUUAGAGACUCCGGACCUCCAAGUGUAGAGGUCUUUCUCUCUGGACCAAAGGGGAGGCAGUAGAAGGACGAACAACCAGGAGAGAGAGAGUUGUGCCCUGGCAAGUCCCAGGGCCAUGCAGAAGGGGUCCUUCGGCAGGCGGGGGGUGGAGCUGCGACUGAGGUGAGGAGAGCCAGAGGCACCACCUGGAGCAGGACCCCGCUGCCUUCGGGAGCUGUGCUGACUUGGGGUGAAAAGAGGGAGAGAAGCUUCCCUCAUUCAUUAACCGACCGUUUCCUGCGGGUGAGGAGGAGGGAAGAAGAGCUGCCCGCAUGUCCCUGCCACCUGAGCUAGAAAAGUGCACUUGAGGGAGCUGGGACAAGGCACACCGCGCAUGACCUAGGGAGGGAUGCCUCUUCAGCAUUCGGGUCUCUGCCCAGCAAUGACCCUGAGCCAAGAUGGCCAUCCUUCCUAGAACUCCCUCCCCACUGUGCUUUCUCAACACCCACUUCCUUCUUACCAACCCCAGUUCUCCUUCUGGUUGGGGCCUUACUGUAAGAACGCCUUUGAGAGAAAGCACCAGACAAAGAGCCAACCAAGACACAGCCAGAGAGAGCGCGUGAGCCCUCAAACACAGCUGCAGAAUUAAAACACAACAGAGGAACAGAGUGUUCCAGCUGAUGAACUUCCUGUUGAUGGUCUCUGGGGAGCAGGGGAGAGCUGGAGUCCUAGAAUUGG